UACGAAGGGGGCUAGCGUUGUUCGGAAUCACUGGGCGUAAAGGGCGCGUAGGCGGCCUGAUAAGUAGGGGGUGAAAUCCUGCGGCUUAACCGCAGGGCUGCCUUCUAAACUGUCAGGCUUGAGCACAGUAGAGGCAGGUGGAAUUCCCGGUGUAGCGGUGGAAUGCGUAGAGAUCGGGAAGAACAUCAGUGGCGAAGGCGGCCUGCUGGGCUGUUGCUGACGCUGAGGAGCGAAAGCGUGGGGAGCGAACAGG
rnacentral:rRNA from 1 species